CUUGGUGAGAUGCAGCCUGUGGCGCCAGCCUGUCAGCCUCCUUUCUGUUCUGAUGAGGGAGGGAGAGGUCGUAUGAUGCAGGCUAAGUUCAAUUUUGUGGCUACAGAAAGGGCCGUGGAUGGUACUUUUACCAACCCCUUAUCAUCUGAUGAAUGACUCUGUCUGGAGAGCUGGCAGGUGUCUGUUGUCCCUUUUGGGUCAAAGGACCACAGCGGCACUCAGUCCAAAGGAGUCAUGUGGAACUCAAAUACCAAGAUGAGGUGAAGCUGAGAACACCCCUGGAUGCCUUCUUUUCAUCACUGUGAGCCAUCCUACCACAGCUGUGACCGACAAUCUUCACUAUCAGUUUGGCUGGACUUAAGUCACCAUGGAAGCACAACUUUGAGCGUGUCUAUGAGGGUGUCUCCAGAAAGGUGCAACCAACGAGGGAAGCCCCACCCUGAAUGUGGGUCACUGUCCCAUGGGCUGGGGUCCUGGCGUGAAUGAAAGGAGAAAGCCUGGUAAACACAGGAGCCAGCUCUUUGUUCCCUGGCUGUGGAUACAAUGUGGCCAGGUGCCUCACAGUCCUGUCUCCUUGUCUUCCCUGCCAAAUUGAGCUGCACUUUUAAACUGUAAAUCCUAGUAAACCCUUCCUCCCUUAA